CAUCUCUCUUACACUGAGAAGACAUCUGUGUAAAUCAGAUUAUCUUG
rnacentral:tRNA from 1 species